rnacentral:rRNA from 1 species
ACGUAGGAGGCAAGCGUUGUCCGGAUUUACUGGGUGUAAAGGGUCCGCAGGCGGAUGGACAAGUCGAAUGUGAAAACCUUCGGCUUAACUCAAGAGCUGCCGUCGAUACUGUUUAUCUUGAAUACAGGAGAGGGUAACGGAAUUCCAGGUGUAGCGGUGAAAUGCUUAGAUAUCUGGAAGAACACCGGUAGCGAAGGCUGUUGCCUGGACUGGUAUUGACGCUCAGGGACGAAAGCGUGGGGAGCAAACAG